UUAAAUUUGACUUAAUUUAAAUUUACAGGACCAUUUAUGUUUUCUCUUAUAUGUAGGUUUUUGCUUAAAUCAGCUGUAUGGUUUAAUUAAAUUUAAACUACUGGCCGACGCUUCACAACGUCCCACCCACGAACUUUCAUCUUUAGCAGUCCUCUAUAUCUCUGCAGCGUAAGGGACAUCAUACAUUAUAUAAUUAUAUUGUCGUCUCUAUCAUCAUAAUUCCAGAACUCUGGAAGGGCAGAUAGAUGCUGCAACUGAGAUUGUAUCUCAAAAUCCGGAUUAGGAUCGAUUGAAGUACAUCAACCUGGUUGGGCCACAAAAACAGACACAUGAAUGAGAACAAUGGCUUCCGUUGCCCGGCGAUACAUGACCAAUAGGCCGAUGCCUGGGUUGCUAUCGGAGGGGGGAAAGAUCUCAACUAUGAACCAGGAGGAAAACAUGAUAUAUCAGCUUGGGGUAUUGCUUACGCAUGAACACGUACUGGAGGCAAUGUACAUGAGAACAUGCAGACUCACCAAACGAGAAGUGCCUCCUCCUCUAGGAUAACACAAACAACACAAAGUCCGCAAGAGCCGG
rnacentral:sRNA from 1 species